rnacentral:rRNA from 1 species
GGGCAACUGAAGGAUUAUCGUGGUUUAGGUGAUGAGAUUUUAAUUGUAAGUUUAAGUUAUUAGGAUAAAAGGGUGAAAUUUAUUAAUCGUAGGUGAUUUUAACUUAUUGUUGAGGAUUUUGAGUCUUUAAAGUUCGGGGGAUAAACUAGGAUUAGAUACCCUAUUAUGCUCGAUAGAAAUAUUAAGCUCCUUUGAGUAGUAAACAGGUAUAAUCUCGAAACUCAAAGGAUUUGGCGGUAUCUAAGUCCGGUUAGAGGAACUUGUGCAGUAAACGAUAAUCCGCGAGUAUCUUGCCUCAUUUUGUAAAAUUCAGUUUGUAUACCGCCAUUAUUAGGUAAUUUUUAUAGAGAUUUAUUGAAAUUAAGUUAAGUUGAGUAUAUUAGGUCAAGGUGCAGCUUAUAGUGAGGAUGAUGUGAGUUACAUUGGGAUAAGAAAUUACGGACAGGCCAAGGUAGGUGUGGCUUUAAAGGUGGAUUUAAUUGUAAGGGGCGUAUAGUACGCGCGGCUGAUAAAGGCUCUUAGAUAUGUACACAUCGCCCGUCGUUCUCACUUU